rnacentral:lncRNA from 1 species
AGCAACCGUCCCAGCAUCCAUGAGGUCAAAAAGAAGGUAAAUUAAAGUUUUGUAAUUGUUCAUCUCUUAUUACUAAAAAUUAUAUCACUAUCUGUAAUAUUUUAUCAAGAUGUUUAAAUUAAAAGAAUAAAAUUUCCAUAAAAAUAAUGAAAAUUUAUACUUUUUGGUUCCCAUAGCAACCGUCCAAGAACCAAAUUUCCCGAACACUUUAAUCUAUAUUAUUAAUAAGCAAUAGUGACAGUUUAUAUUCAUUACCUCAAUUUGGAUGGGUGCGGAUGCGAAAGUGUGUUUCUUGUAAAAAGAAAAUGUGUAAAAAUUGCCUCCUCGCUAAGGAAGAAAAUAUACCCCUACGCCAUUGGUUGUAUCUAAAUUAAGGUGACAUUUUUUGGGGGAUAUUGCAUUGUUAUUAAGUUAGGCAAGGAUCAUAUUUAUGAAGAAUAUAAACAAAUAUUAU